rnacentral:rRNA from 1 species
AGUGAACGCUGGCGGCGUGCUUAACACAUGCAAGUCGAACGAGAACGGGAUAUAGCUUGCUAUAUUUGUCAGCUAAGUGGCGCACGGGUGAGUAAUGUAUAGAUAACCUGCCCUCUAGAAAGGAAUAACAGUUGGAAACGACUGCUAAUGCCCUAUAUGCCUUUAAUACAUAAGUAUGCAAGGGAAACGCUUUAGUGCUAGAGGAUGGGUCUGUAUGGUAUCAGCUUGUUGGUGAGGUAAUGGCUCACCAAGGCUAUGACGCCUAACUGGUUUGAGAGGAUGGUCAGUCACACUGGAACGGAGACACGGUCCAGACUCCUACGGGAGGCAGCAGUGGGGAAUAUUGCACAAUGGACGAAAGUCUGAUGCAGCAACGCCGCGUGGAGGAUGACACAUUUCGGUGCGUAAACUCCUUUUAUAUAGGAAGAUAAUGACGGUAUUAUAUGAAUAAGCUCCGGCUAACUCCGUGCCAGCCGCCGCCGUAA